UACGUAGGCAGCGAGCGUUGUUCGGAGUUACUGGGCGUAAAGGGUGUGUAGGCGGUUCUUUAAGUUUGGUGUGAAAUCUCCCGGCUCAACCGGGAGGGUGCGCCGAAAACUGGGGGACUAGAGUCCGGAAGAGGAGUGUGGAAUUCCCGGUGUAGCGGUGAAAUGCGCAGAUAUCGGGAAGAACACCCGUGGCGAAGGCGGCACUCUGGGACGGUACUGACGCUGAGACGCGAAAGCGUGGGGAGCGAACAGG
rnacentral:rRNA from 1 species